GCACUGCUGAGGAGUCCCACAAUAGGAUGUAACGACCGUCCAGUGC
rnacentral:hammerhead_ribozyme from 1 species